rnacentral:lncRNA from 1 species
CAAAAGGAGUUGAGAUAGGCCUAGAGAAGCUAGAGUGUAAUAAAAGAGUGUGCUCAGGUUGGAUUAGAUGUUGAAUUGAGUGCUAGUUGUGUUUCUUUUGGCUAUGAGCUCCCCACCUUAAAACCUCUCUCCCUAUGAGUUCUAGAAAGUUCACUUGUGGACAAGUAAAAGAACAAGUUUGGAGGAGUUGAUAUCUUGCAUAUUUCCAUUGUCUUAUCCAUUCACCCAUG